AAAGAUUUAAGAGAGACUCAGGCACCUUGCCCUUAUUCAGCAUGCAAGGGACUGGAAUUGCUGGUGCGCCAUUUCGCAAGUUGCAAGUUGAGAAUACCUGGAGGUUGCAUUCAUUGCAAGAGAAUGUGGCAGCUAUUAGAGCUACACUCUCGUCUCUGCGCUGAUUCCAACNNNNAGAGUUCCUCUGUGCAGGAAUUUCAAGUUUAGGAUUAAGAGCCAAAGCAAGAAGGAUGAGG
rnacentral:misc_RNA from 1 species